rnacentral:rRNA from 1 species
ACGGAAGGCAGCAGUAGGGAAUAUUGCACAAUGGGGGAAACCCUGAUGCAGCAACGCCACGUGUGGGAAGAAGCAUUUCGGUGUGUAAACCACUGUCGUGAGGGAAUAAGGCAUUGUUUCGGCGAUGUUGAAUGUACCUCGAAAGGAAGCACCGGCAAACUUCGUGCCAGCAGCCGCGGUAAUACGAGGGGUGCAAGCGUUGUUCGGAAUCACUGGGCGUAAAGGGAGCGCAGGCGGAGAUGCAAGCGGACUGUACAAUACCGGGGCCCAACCCCGGACCUGCAGACCGGACUGCAUUUCUUGGAUAGUUCAGGGGCAAGCGGAAUUCCUGGUGUAGCGGUGGAAUGCGUAGAGAUCAGGAAGAACACCGAUGGCGAAGGCAGCUUGCUGGGGACUUAUCGACGCUCAUGCUCGAAAGUGCGGGUAGCAAACAGGAUUAGAUACCCUGGUA